rnacentral:rRNA from 1 species
AGAGUUUGAUCAUGGCUCAGGACGAACGCUGGCGGCGUGCCUAAUACAUGCAAGUCGAGCGGGGUUGUCGGAGUGGAGUCCUUCGGGAUGAAGCACCGUCAACCUAGCGGCGGACGGGUGAGUAACGCGUGGGUAACCUGCCCUAAAGCCCGGGAUAACACCGGGAAACUGGUGCUAACACCGGAUACCUUCCGAAGAGGGCAUCCUUUUUGGAAGAAAGGUUAACGCUUUAGGGUGGGCCCGCGUCCCAUUAGCUAGUUGGUGAGGUAACGGCUCACCAAGGCAGUGAUGGGUAGCCGGCCUGAGAGGGUGGACGGCCACACUGGGACUGAGACACGGCCCAGACUCCUACGGGAGGCAGCAGUAGGGAAUAUUGCGCAAUGGGCGGAAGCCUGACGCAGCGACGCCGCGUGAGCGAAGAAGGCCUUCGGGUCGUAAAGCUCUGUCCUUGGGGAAGAAGGCGAAAGCUUGACGGUACCCAAGAAGAAAGCCCCGGCUAACUACGUGCCAGCAGCCGCGGUAAUACGUAGGGGGCGAGCGUUGUCCGGAAUUACUGGGCGUAAAGGGUGCGUAGGCGGCCUUUUAAGUCAGAUGUGAAAGGCUGCGGCUUAACCGCAGGACUGCAUUUGAAACUGGAAGGCUUGAGUGUCGGAGAGGGUAGUGGAAUUCCCAGUGUAGCGGUGAAAUGCGUAGAUAUUGGGAGGAACACCAGUGGCGAAGGCGACUACCUGGACGAUAACUGACGCUGAGGCACGAAAGCUAGGGGAGCAAACAGGAUUAGAUACCCUGGUAGUCCUAGCCGUAAACGAUGGGUACUAGGUGUAGGUGGUUUCGAUACCAUCUGUGCCGCAGUUAACGCAAUAAGUACCCCGCCUGGGGAGUACGGUCGCAAGACUGAAACUUAAAUGAAUUGACGG